rnacentral:tRNA from 1 species
GGCCGCCUGGCGAAAUGGCAUCGCGUCUGACUACGAGUAUGUAAUCAGGAGAUUGCAGGUUCGACCCCUGCGGUGGUCA